UACUAGAGUAGCACUCGCAUAUCAAUAAGCGGAGGAAAAGAAACUAACAUAGGAUUCCCUUAGUAACGGCGAGUGAAGCGGGAAGAGCUCAAAUUUGAAAUCUUCAAGGUUCUACCUUGACGAAUUGUAGUUUAAAGAAGUGUUUUCUGUUGGAGUUUUGGUAAAGGUUCUUUGGAAUAGGACAUCAUAGAGGGUGAGAAUCCCGUAUUUGACCAUUAUCUUCCAGCUGUGUGAUACACUUUCAAAGAGUCGGAUUGUUUGGGAAUGCAGUCCAAAAUGGGUGGUAAAUUUCAUCUAAAGCUAAAUAUUGGCGAGAGACCGAUAGCGAACAAGUACCGUGAGGGAAAGAUGAAAAGAACUUUGAAAAGAGAGUUAAACAGUACGUGAAAUUGUCAAAAGGGAAGCGUUUGACACCAGUGUUGUUUUCUCGAAAAUCGAUUAAAAAUGGCCUGGAUUUUGUGUUGUAUUGACCUUAUCAAGCUUUCUUCACUCUUUUCUUGUCUUUUUUAAUGCACUUUUCGUUUAACAAGUCAACAUCAAUUUCUUUUGUUGUAAAAGGGUCAUUGGAAGGUGGCUUUCAUUUCGGUGAAAGUGUUUAUAGCCUUUGACUUCUGCAAUCGGAGAGAUUGAGGUCUGCAGCGUAGAUCCUUCGGGGUUAGAUACAUUUGUGCUAAGUUAUAGUUUUUCAUAGACAACAUGUUGACUAUGAUUAAUCAUGUAGCUUACUCGCUUAUGCUAUUUUACCUACGCUUAGGAUGUUGAAGAUGUAGCACAUCAU
rnacentral:rRNA from 1 species